rnacentral:rRNA from 1 species
GAUAACCUGGGGAAACCCAGGCUAAUGCCGCAUACGUCCUACGGGAGAAAGGGGGCUCCGGCUCCCGCUAUGGGAUGAGCCUAUGUCGGAUUAGCUAGUUGGUGAGGUAACGGCUCACCAAGGCCACGAUCCGUAGCUGGUCUGAGAGGAUGAUCAGCCACAUCGGGACUGAGACACGGCCCGAACUCCUACGGGAGGCAGCAGUGGGGAAUAUUGGACAAUGGGGGAAACCCUGAUCCAGCCAUGCCGCGUGUGUGAAGAAGGCCCUCGGGUUGUAAAGCACUUUCAGCGAGGAAGAACGCCUAACGGUUAAUACCCGCUAGGAAAGACAUCACUCGCAGAAGAAGCACCGGCUAACUCCGUGCCAGCAGCCGCGGUAAUACGGAGGGUGCAAGCGUUAAUCGGAAUUACUAGGCGUAAAGCGCGCGUAGGUGGCUUGAUAAGCCGGUUGUGAAAGCCCCGGGCUCAACCUGGGAACGGCAUCCGGAACUGUCAAGCUAGAGUGCAGGAGAGGAAGGUAGAAUUCCCGGUGUAGCGGUGAAAUGCGUAGAGAUCGGGAGGAAUACCAGUGGCGAAGGCGGCCUUCUGGACUGACACUGACACUGAGGUGCGAAAGCGCGGGUAGCAAACAGGAUUAGAUACCCUGGUAGUCCACGCCGUAAACGAUGUCGACCAGCCGUUGGGUGCCUAGCGCACUUUGUGGCGAAGUUAACGCGAUAAGUCGACCGCCUGGGGAGUACGGCCGCAAGGUUAAAACUCAAAUGAAUUGACGGGGGCCCGCACAAGCGGUGGAGCAUGUGGUUUAAUUCGAUGCAACGCGAAGAACCUUACCUACUCUUGGCAUCCUGCGAAUUUGGUAGAGAUACCUUAGUGCCUUCGGGAACGCAGAGACAGGUGCUGCAUGGCUGUCGUCAGCCCGUGUUGUGAAAUGUUGGGUUAAGUCCCGUAACGAGCGCAACCCUUGUCCUUAUUUGCCAGCGCGUAAUGGCGGGAACUCUAAGGAGACUGCCGGUGACAAACCGGAGGAAGGUGGGGACGACGUCAAGUCAUCAUGGCCCUUACGAGUAGGGCUACACACGUGCUACAAUGGUCGGUACAAAGGGUUGCCAACUCGCGAGAGUGAGCCAAUCCCGAAAAGCCGAUCUCAGUCCGGAUCGGAGUCUGCAACUCGACCCCGUGAAGUCGGAAUCGCUAGUAAUCGUGGAUCAGAAUGCCACGGUGAAUACGUUCCCCGGCCUUGUACACACCGCCCGUCACACCA